ACGAUGAGUCAACAAAGUCAGCGAGCCUGUCUACCCGAUCGCUUAAGUCGCCACUUACGACGGACAUGGGUUACUGAAGAUCAAUAUUCUAACCCGGAUCUUCACGGGUAUCGUUCUGUGUUGUAUUU